rnacentral:rRNA from 1 species
AUUGAACGCUGGCGGCAUGCCUUACACAUGCAAGUCGAACGGUAACAGGUCUUCGGAUGCUGACGAGUGGCGAACGGGUGAGUAAUACAUCGGAACGUGCCCGAUCGUGGGGGAUAACGAAGCGAAAGCUUUGCUAAUACCGCAUAAGAUCUAAGGAUGAAAGCAGGGGACCGCAAGGCCUUGCGCGAACGGAGCGGCCGAUGGCAGAUUAGGUAGUUGGUGGGAUAAAAGCUUACCAAACCGACGAUCUGUAGCUGGUCUGAGAGGACGACCAGCCACACUGGGACUGAGACACGGCCCAGACUCCAACGGGAGGCAGCAGUGGGGAAUUUUGGACAAUGGGCGAAAGCCUGAUCCAGCCAUGCCGCGUGCAGGAUGAAGGCCUUCGGGUUGUAAACUGCUUUUGUACGGAACGAAAAGACUCUUUCUAAUAAAGAGGGUCCAUGACGGUACCGUAAGAAUAAGCACCGGCUAACUACGUGCCAGCCGCCGCCGUAA